AGGCAAUGUCUUCAUUUGUAA
rnacentral:sRNA from 1 species